UGUGUACCUGUAUUCACAUGUGUCUGGAAUGGGUUAACACUGAGAGUCCCUGUUAACCAAUGAAUGUUUACUGUGAUUAACUUAUCAGGCUCCGAGAAGUGAGCCCUCCCCGAGAUACUGUCACAUGUUCAUAGUAUGUCUAUGAUCAGGAGUCAGGUAACAGGAAGGAAUACCUUCCACACUGAUAACUUAUAGCAUCAUUCAGUCACAACGUUUGCCUGGACAUAGCAGCACUUUCGUGACGCAGUCCCAGCGUGCCUAAAAAUAUUUACCUGACCUCAGCAGCACACGAGGCCUCUAUUUAGGUUAUUGUGCUGCCUUGGCCAUGUCACUGACCACGAAAAAUGUAACGACGGAGAAUUGCAGGGUCAAAAGACGGCUUGGUCUAUUAAGCUCCGUCUCUUUUAUCGUAGGUAAUAUAAUAGGGUCAGGAAUCUUUAUAUCACCCAGAAAUGUCUUGGCAAAAACCCAGUCCGUUGGUCUUUGUCUGGUCACGUGGGUAUUGUGUGG